rnacentral:rRNA from 1 species
CAAAAACAUAGUCGAUAGUAGAUAUUAUUGAUGACCCCUGCUCAAUGAACAUUUAAAUAGCCGCAGUACUUUGACUGUGCAAAGGUAGCAUAAUCAGUUGGCUUAUAAUUGAAGUCUUGUAUGAAUGAGGUAAUGGAGGUUAACUGUACAUUAGUAUAUAGUAAACUUACUAAGUAAGUGAAAAAACUUACUAUAACAUAAUAGACGAGAAGACCCUAGAAAUUUAAAUAUUUUUAAAAGUUUUGUUGGGGCAACAAUAUAACAAUUUAAUUUAUAUUAAUAACAAGACAAUAAUUUAUUUGGAAGAUUAAAUUACUCUAGGGAUAACAGCAUAAUUUAUAAAAGUUUGUGACCUCGAUGUUGGACUAGGGAGAUUUAAGUUUAGAGAGUUUAAAUAUAUGCUCUGUUCG